rnacentral:lncRNA from 1 species
AUACUUCAUUGCAAAUGCUAAUUUUUUGUUUUUUUAAUUUAUUUUUUGGAUGUAUAUAUGUGAGAGAUUAUAAUUAGCGUAUUAGAGAGAGAUUAAUUAUUUGAUUGGAGUAUUGGAAAAAAUCCAUGAAAAGCGAUAGGUUGGUGGUAGGAUAUGUGGACAUUAACACAGGGUAUUGUUUUGUAAGGAGAGGUUCUAGCUAGUUUAACUUGUUAUCAUUGUUGUGAUUGUGUCA